rnacentral:piRNA from 1 species
UUUUCAGAAAUGGAAGUAAUUAGGUUAGAGC